rnacentral:lncRNA from 1 species
GUAAAUCUGAUCCUGUAUUAGGUGCUAUAUGAUUUGCAUGAGGUUUUUGAUACAACUUUAGUUUUUCAAACUGAUUACCGAGACUAUCUUUUGAUUUUAAACUCAUUGUUGUUCAUCUAGUUCUGUAUGUUCUAUGUCUGACUCUUGUAAUCAUGACUAUUCUUCUAGCAAUAAAGUUGUUCCUUUACCUUCAAAUGUAAAUAGUUCCAUCUGUAAUAAUGAUGUUACAGCUGACAUGAAUUACAUUGGCAUUAGAGACUAGCUCAUACUUCAUUUGCAAACAUGAAACACAUUUCUGGCUUGUCUUUUCCAUUUGCUUCUAAGCAGCCUUUCCCUUGUUCUAUCUGUCCUAUGGC